UACGAAGGGUGCUAGCGUUGUUCGGAAUUACUGGGCGUAAAGCGCGCGUAGGCGGUCUAUCAAGUCAGAGGUGAAAGCCCUGGGCUCAACCCAGGAAUUGCCUUUGAAACUGUUAGACUUGAGUGUCGGAGGGGAUAGCGGAAUUCCUAAUGUAGAGGUGAAAUUCGUAGAUAUUAGGAGGAACACCGGUGGCGAAGGCGGCUAUCUGGACGACAACUGACGCUGAGGCGCGAAAGCGUGGGGAUCAAACAGGAUUAGAAACCCGGGUAGU
rnacentral:rRNA from 1 species